rnacentral:rRNA from 1 species
UACGGGGGGGGCAAGCGUUGUUCGGAAUUACUGGGCGUAAAGGGCUCGUAGGUGGCCAACUAAGUCAGACGUGAAAUCCCUCGGCUUAACCGGGGAACUGCGUCUGAUACUGGAUGGCUUGAAUCCGGGAGAGGGAUGCGGAAUUCCAGGUGUAGCGGUGAAAUGCGUAGAUAUCUGGAGGAACACCGGUGGCGAAGGCGGCAUCCUGGACCAACACUGACGCUGAGUGAGCGAAAGCCAGGGGAGCAAACGGG